UACGUAGGGGGCAAGCGUUGUCCGGAUUUAUUGGGCGUAAAGAGCGUGUAGGCGGUCAGGUAGGUCCGUUGUGAAAACUCGAGGCUCAACCUCGAAGACGCCGAUGGAAACCAUCUGACUAGAGUCCGGAAGAGGAGAGUGGAAUUCCUGGUGUAGCGGUGAAAUGACGCAGAUAUCAGGAAGAACACCCGUGGCUAAGGCGGCUCUCUAGUACGGUACUGACGCUGAGACGCGAAAGCGUGGGGAGCGAACAGG
rnacentral:rRNA from 1 species